CAUUAUCACUAAACCUAGAACUAGAAACAUUCAGUUUAUCCGUGCGUCUCUCAAUUUGCGCAACCAUCAACUAAUAGGUGAAAUAUUACAUCGUUGAAAUUAGUCAGGCGCAAAACAGUGGACAUUAUGUGCUCAAAGUGGAGUUAUGCGAAAGAAUAUAAUUUUGACAACUUCCUCGAAAUUACAAAACCUUCAGUAGUUUCGCAGAUCAGUAACCCGAAACACAAAUAUAGACCUCAAAGAUAGAUACAUUUCCUAGAUAACGUGGUCGCGAGUAAAUUUCAACAUCUAAACCCACAAAUAUUGGAAGCUACCCGUCUGUCUAUAAGUAGUUGGGUCGAAUACUACAUAUGCAGGACUUCUGACAAUUCUCCUGUGGUAAAGUAUCUCCUUGUUAGUCGACCUGGAAGGAUCUGUUUCCGAGGAAAGCAUCUCAAAAUCUGCUUUUAUUGUUGAUAUUGAUAUGAUAUAUUAGUAUUACAUAAAAUUACAGAUGUUUCCUGAAGAUGGUUAUACACGGAAAUAAGCGGGCAAACAAAUAUAGCUUUUAAUUAACAAAAAUCGAAGACCAAUAAAAAACGGUUAAUAACAAGGUUUUUCCUCAACAUUAUACAGAAAUGAAGUUUUGAAAUGAUUGUUAAAAUGAUGGAUAAAUAAAAACUAAAAUCCUUAAUA